CAAUAGCGUAUAUUAAAGUUGUUGCAGUUAAAAAGCUCGUAGUUGAAUUUUUGCUUGCCGCCGAUGUCGGAACUUCCGUACGUUCGGCGGCGUGCAUCCUUGGGUGGAACCUGUGUGGCAUUAGGUUGUCGUGCAGGGGAUGCUCAUCGUUUACUGUGAAAAAAUUAGAGUGUUCAGAGCAGGCUUACGCCGUUGAAUAUAUUAGCAUGGAAUAAUAAGAUAGGACCUUGGUACUAUUUUGUUGGUUUGCGCACCGAGGUAAUGAUUAACAGGGACAGUUGGGGGUAUUCGUAUUCCAUUGUCAGAGGUGAAAUUCUUGGAUCUCUGGAAGACGAACUACUGCGAAAGCAUUUACCAAGGAUGUUUUCAUUAA
rnacentral:rRNA from 1 species